rnacentral:lncRNA from 1 species
AUCCACUGCCAUCUACCCUCUCAAACCCUAAUUAUUUUCUAGUAUCUUCUUUCUCUUUCUAUACAACUAACCCCUUAGCCGACACCACCAUUGUUCUCUCUCUCUCAUAUCGAUGCCACCAUCAUUCGCAAACACAGAGAAGCACUCCGGUCUCUCUCUCCACGACUCCACCACAUGAAAAGCCACUGCAUCAACAUGACCAUUGAUCUCCUGACUCUCUCUUCACAGCAAUCGUUGCGCAUGACAGCAAGGCGCUGCAGAUCAUUGGGGUGUUGUAGAUUGGAGUCGGAGAAGAGAAGGGAUACUUGUUGGUUGUGGCGACCAUAGUGCAAGUGAAUCUAUGAGAUUUGGUCGGUAGGAUUUUAUUGGUUUUUGAGGUGUUUUUUGUUGGUGGUGGUGGUGGUGUAGGUCAGUAGGUGGAUCUGGCGAUGUUGGCGAUGGAUUUUGAUGAUGCUGAAGUGGUGUUUUGGUGGAUCUAGCGCUAUCAACAAUGGUGAGGCGGUGAUCGCAAAGGGUUGUGAUGCAGGUAGUGUUAAUGUUGGUUGGUGGCAUCGUGGUAUUUGUGGAGGAGGCGCGGUGGAGUGGAAUGAAAAGUUUUUGUGACCAACAAAUUGGUUGAUCGUGACCAACAAGUGACCAAUAAAUAAUAUGUAAUAUAAAAAAAUGUGAUUGUGAUUCACAAUUUAUUAAGUUAUGUCUGAUAAAUAAUUUGUGAUCAAUUAAUUUGAUAAUUUAUAAUCGUUAAAUAAAUUGUAACUUAAAAAAAUUGUGAUUUUUGACUGUUAAAUGAAUUGUGAUCUAUAG